UGGGGAAUAUUGGACAAUGGGCGCAAGCCUGAUCCAGCCAUGCCGCGUGAGUGAUGAAGGCCUUAGGGUUGUAAAGCUCUUUCAGCGGGGAAGAUAAUGACGGUACCCGCAGAAGAAGCCCCGGCUAACUUCGUGCCAGCAGCCGCGGUAAUACGAAGGGGGCUAGCGUUGUUCGGAUUUACUGGGCGUAAAGCGCGCGCAGGCGGAUGGGGAAGUCGGAAGUGAAAGUCCGGGGCUCAACUCCGGGUACGCUUCCGAUACUCUCUGUCUAGGGACCGGUAGAGGCCGGUGGAAUUCCCGGUGUAGCGGUGGAAUGCGUAGAGAUCGGGAAGAACACCAGUGGCGAAGGCGGCCGGCUGGGCCGGAGAUCCGCAGAGGAUCGAUCCGACGCUGAGGCGCGAAAGCGUGGGGAGCAAACAGGAUUAGAUACC
rnacentral:rRNA from 1 species